AGCUUGGUGCCAGCAGCCGCGGUAAUUCCAGCUCCAAUAGCGUAUAUUAAAGUUGUUGUGGUUAAAAAGCUCGUAGUAGAACCUUGGGCCUGGCUGGCCGGUCCGCCUCACCGCGUGCACUGGUCCGGCCGGGCCUUUCCCUCUGUGGAACCGCAUGCCCUUCACUGGGUGUGCCGGGGAAACAGGACUUUUACUUUGAAAAAAUUAGAGUGCUCCAGGCAGGCCUAUGCUCGAAUACAUUAGCAUGGAAUAAUAGAAUAGGACGUGUGGUUCUAUUUUGUUGGUUUCUAGGACCGCCGUAAUGAUUAAUAGGGACAGUCGGGGGCAUCAGUAUUCAAUUGUCAGAGGUGAAAUUCUUGGAUUUAUUGAAGACUAACUACUGCGAAAGCAUUUGCCAAGGAUGUUUUCAUUUAUCAGGAACGAAAGUUAGGGGAUCGAAGACAGAUCAGAUACCGUCGUAGUCUUAACCAUAAACUAUGCCGACUAGGGGUCGGACGAUGUUAUUUUUUGACUCGUUCGGCACCUUACGAGA
rnacentral:rRNA from 1 species